rnacentral:piRNA from 1 species
UGUAUGCUAGAGGAAUCUCAC